rnacentral:rRNA from 2 species
UGGGGAAUAUUGCACAAUGGGCGAAAGCCUGAUGCAGCAACGCCGCGUGAACGAUGAAGGUCUUCGGAUCGUAAAGUUCUGUCUUCAGGGACGAUAAUGACGGUACCUGAGGAGGAAGCCACGGCUAACUACGUGCCAGCAGCCGCGGUAAUACGUAGGUGGCAAGCGUUGUCCGGAUUUACUGGGCGUAAAGGGAGCGUAGGCGGACUUUUAAGUGGGAUGUGAAAUACUCAGGCUCAACCUGAGGGCUGCAUUUCAAACUGGAAGUCUAGAGUGCAGGAGAGGAGAGUGGAAUUCCUAGUGUAGCGGUGAAAUGCGUAGAGAUUAGGAAGAACACCAGUGGCGAAGGCGACUCUCUGGACUGUAACUGACGCUGAGGCUCGAAAGCGUGGGGAGCAAACAGG